AAAGAAACUAACAAGGAUUCCCUUAGUAACUGCGAGUGAAGAGGGAAGAGCUCAAAUUUAAAAUCUGGCAGUGUUUUGCUGUCCGAGUUGUAAUCUAGAGAAGUGCUGCCCGUGCUGGACCAUGUACAAGUCUCCUGGAAUGGAGCGUCACAGAGGGUGAGAAUCCCGUCUUUGACAUGGACUACCAGUGCAUUUGUGGUGUGCUCUCAAAGAGUCGAGUUGUUUGGGAAUGCAGCUCUAAAUGGGUGGUAAACUCCAUCUAAAGCUAAAUAUUGGCGAGAGACCGAUAGCGAACAAGUACCGUGAGGGAAAGAUGAAAAGAACUUUGGAAAGAGAGUUAAACAGUAUGUGAAAUUGUUGAAAGGGAAACGCUUAAAGUCAGUCGUGUCGGCCAGGGAUCAACUCAGCUUUCUCUGCUGGGUGUACUUCCUGAUCUGAUGGGCCAACAUCAGUUUUGACUGCUGGAGAAGGACAGAGGGAAUGUGGCACCUUUGGGUGUGUUAUAGCUCUCUGUCAGAUGCAGUGGUUGGGACUGAGGAUUGCAGCAUGCCGCAAGGCCGGGUCGUUUCGACCACGUUCAUGCUGAGGAUGUUGGCAUAAUGGCUCUAAUCGACCCGUCUUGA
rnacentral:rRNA from 1 species